UAAAUGUACAUAUCUCAUUCUCUCUCUUGACUCUCUGUCUCCCUCACAUCUAUCUAAACCUAGCAGAAAUCUCCCUACCCAAAUCCCAAAUUUUCUCGAACCUCCGAGACCUCUCUAAAAAAAUUUCCAAACUUUUCUAGAGGAAAUUCUCCAAAUUUCCCAUAAAUUUCCCCACAGCCUCAAACUCUCAGCUCUCCCUACCUCUCACCGAAAUCCCAAAAUUCUAGUCCUCCGUCGUUCGAAUCCUUCCAGUGAUGAAUUCCCGAUGAAUAAGACUGCCCUCACUGGUAGUUCUACUAGUCGUGUGGUGGUUGGCUGCCACGGGAUCCGAAUCAGACCUUGGCCGCAUCCGAAUCCAACUGAGGUCAUGAAGGCGCACCAGAUUAUUGACACGGUUCAGAGGGAGCAGAGGCGUCAAUUUGGAGUCAAGAACCCUAGAACCGUCAUUGUGGUGACUCCCUUCACAUGACCGGUCUGAUGCACUCGCUGAUGCUGGUGCCAUACGAAGUCGUCUGGAUCGUGCUGGAGGCUGGUGGAGCUAGCAAUGAGACCGAUUCGAUCCUCGCCAAGUAGGGACUCCGGACCAUUCACGUUGGAUUUGAGCAGGGGAUGCCAAAUUCUUGGGAGGGUCGUCAUCGAUUGGAGGCUCAGAUGAGUCUUCGUGCAUUGAGAAGUGGCAGCAUAUAGAAUGGUCAAUAUUGAAGUGAGCUAUCCCAUUUGAUGUUUUCAGAGCUAACGCACAGCAGCCAAAACUCUUUGUUGGUAUGAUCUUGAUUCUCAUCUUUGCUGAAGCUUUGGCUUUGUAUGGUCUUAUUGUUGGUAUCAUUCUCUCAUCACGAGCUGGCCAAUCAAGAGCAAAUUCUUACUGCUAAUUGUUUGCAAUAUUCUUUUGGGUUUAAAAUUCAAUGCUCAUGCUAUAUAACGCUCUAUUCCAGACUUGAAGACUUACACGAUUCUUGUGAAUUCUCUCUAGCUCAAUGUUUUGGAAAUCUUCCUGACUGCAUACCAGAACCAAAUGAGAAGCUUGUGGAAUUUGGAAUAGGAGGGGGUUGCAAUUCUUGUGCUGUGAUGGUGCAGCUACAUUAGUCCUAGUGAGUCGAGAGAAGGCGCUUCAACUUGGAUUGCAAGUAAUUGCAAAGAUUAAGGACUAUGCUGAUGCAGCUCAGGAGCCAGAGUCCUUGGGAUGCUUGUUAGAGUUUUCAUGGAAUGGACAGAAGUCACUGUCAUUGAAAGGGGAAACCCAUAAAUUCCUAGAAGAUGGUGAUAAAGUUAUCAUCACUAGUUUUUGCAAGGGUUUGACACUGCUGUUGAGGAAGCACAACGAGCCAUUAAUUCAGCUUACAUCGAGUGGCAUUUAAAUCUUGGGAGGAUCAUAGAAAACAACUUGAAUUGGUGAAGGCUCAUAAAUUUGGGCUUGCACCUACAGAGUUUGAUGAAGAUGGCAAAGAGAUUAACUUUCAUAUUCCUCUAUAUGUCAUUUUUGAGAACCGGUUUUAAGUGAUCCUCAGAAGAGAGCCAUAUACGAUCAAUAUGCUGAAGAAGGUCUCAAAGGACAAGUGCCACCCCCUGAUGUAGCAGGGGGAUUCCCUGGUGGUGGUGCUACUUUCUUUCAAACUUGGGAUGGUCCAAUGUUGGACACAAGAGAGGUCAUUCUUGAAAAACAACUGGUACAGAUUACAGGAAAAGAAAGAGCUGAUCUUAAGGUGAAGAGAGCAGUGAUAAUUAUAGCUAUUCUUAUUGGAUUAACUUGUGGGAUGAUUUUAAUUGGCUUUUACAUUUGCAAGUGGAGAGCAUUUUAUGGAAAUCAAAUCCUUGUUUCCUGCCGAUUGCAGUCCAUUCUAAGCUGGUUUUGGAAUUAGAGAUACAGAUGAAGUUAGCUACCUUAAGGUCGGAAUUCCACUAGGAAAAAAUUAUUAUGCCUGAAAAUGAGCAAAGUCAGAACUGAAAGAGCUUCUUCAGAGCUUUGGAAGAUAUAAGAUUGCUCAAAAGGUUUGUUUUUUGGCAUAUAAAUUGAAAACCUAUUUAUGAGCACUUUCCAUGUUUUUUUUCAUGAAAGUUGUUAAGUUGUGCUGAAUGAAUGUAACUUUGGGUUUGCAGGUUGUGGGUUUAGCUGUUGUUUGUGUUAUAUGUUUCACCUCUAAUGCUUUUGCAGGCAGCAAGAGCAGCUGAUUAUAGUAUUGGGAGUAAGUUGCUGAUACCUAAACCCCUCCUCUCACUUUUUGGAAACUUGACAGAACGAACAGGGUAGAGUGAUUUCUUUGGAGCAAUUCUUGACAACAUUUGUAGUUGAGGCAUUUAGAAUGGAAGAAUGUAUUUCACUAAUUUUUGUAUACAUUUCUUGUUUUGUAUUUAGUGAUAAAGGAAUCUGAAUUGGGCAUAAAUUAUGUUGUAAUAUGAUUUCUUAAGCCUAGACUAGUAGACUAAAUAUUAUAAUUACAUUUGAGUAGUUAAUAAAAAUCUAUUUAUGUUACCUUA